AUUAUGCUCCCUCCUUCCCGAAUUACUUGUCGCAGAAAUGGAUAUAUCUAGACGUAUUUUUAGUUCUAGAUACAUCCAUUUUUGCGACAAGUAAUUCGGAAUGGAGGGAGUACAUA
rfam:Triticum aestivum genome assembly, contig: Triticum_aestivum_CS42_TGACv1_scaffold_558517_7AL